rnacentral:rRNA from 1 species
UACGAAGGGGGCUAGCGUUGCUCGGAAUCACUGGGCGUAAAGGGUGCGUAGGCGGGUCUUUUAAGUCAGGGGUGAAAUCCUGGAGCUCAACUCCAGAACUGCCUUUGAUACUGAAGAUCUUGAGUUCGGGAGAGGUGAGUGGAGCUGCGAGUGUAGAGGUGAAAUUCGUAGAUAUUCGCAAGAACACCAGUGGCGAAGGCGGCUCACUGGCCCGAUACUGACGCUGAGGCACGAAAGCGUGGGGAGCGAACAGG